rnacentral:rRNA from 1 species
GUGGAUUAGAUACCCUGGUAGUCCUGGCAGUAAACGGUGCACGUUUGGUGUGGGAGGAUUCGACCCCUUCCGUGCCGGAGCUAACGCGUUAAACGUGCCGCCUGGGGAGUACGGUCGCAAGAUUAAAACUCAAAGAAAUUGACGGGGACCCGCACAAGCGGUGGAGUAUGUGGCUUAAUUCGAUGCAACGCGAAGAACCUUACCUGGCCUUGACAUGCAUCUCUAAGUUGGUGAAAGCCAGCGAGUGUAGCAAUACACAAUUUGCACAGGUGCUGCAUGGCUGUCGCCAACU